AUUGAACGCUGGCGGCAGGCCUAACACAUGCAAGUCGAGCGGAGCGGCGGACGGGUGAGUAAUGCCUAGGACUCUGCCUGGUCGUGGGGGAUAACGUCCGGAAACGGGCGCUAAUACCGCAUACUAUCAGAUGAGCCUAGGUCGGAUUAGCUAGUUGGUGGGGUAAAGGCCUACCAAGGCGACGAUCCGUAACGGGUCUGAGAGUAUGAUCAGUCACACUGGAAUGGAGACACGGGCCAGACUCCUACGUGAGUCAGCAGUGGGGAAUAUUGGACAAUUGGCGAAAGCCUGAUCCAGCCAUGCCGCGGGUGUGAAGAAGGUCUUCGGAUUGUAAAGCACUUGAAGUUGGGAGGCGUUACCAACAGAAUAAGCACCGGCUAACUUCGUGCCAGCAGCCGCGGUAAUAC
rnacentral:rRNA from 1 species